CUGGGUUUGAAUUGGUGAUCCUCCUGCCUCAGCCUCCCUAGCCACUGGGAUUACAGGCAUGCUCCAUAGGAACUCUUGCAAGGCUAGCGGGAAUACAAAAAGAUACAGCCACUGUGACAGUUUGAUAGUUUCUUACACCUCCAACAACGCUUGUAUUCCUUUGGUAUUUACCCAAAUGAGUUGAAAACGUGUCUACUCAGGACCCCUCCCAGGGGCACGUGCCCUCCAGUCUCUGCCACUGUGUGCCUGUCACACUUCAGGCAGUCCUGCCCUAACUGCUGGACAAGGCACUGCUGCCCCUGAAGCAGGAGUUUCAGGCCAAUGGUGACAGUGUGUAGCCCUCCCAGGGUGUUCUAGUGUCCAGUGGGUGGGGCAGGGCCACAUCCCUGGAUUCAUUGCCACAUGGCUACCCUAACUGAGCAAUCAAUAUUGAUUGCCACUUGAUUUUUUUUAAAUUUAUAUUUCUUUUUUUAUUUAUUUUUUUAUUAUUAGUUGUUCAAAACAUUACAAAGCUCUUGAAAUAUCAUAUAUAAAUUUAUAUUUCUAUUUAAAAAAAAUUUUUAGUUAUACAUGGGCACAAUAUCUUCAUUUUGUUUAUUUAUUUUUAUGUGGU
rnacentral:lncRNA from 1 species